UACGUAGGUGGCAAGCGUUGUCCGGAAUUAUUGGGCGUAAAGCGCGCGCAGGCGGUCCUUUAAGUCUGAUGUGAAAGCCCCCGGCUCAACUGGGGAGGGCCAUUCGAUACUGAUCGACUCGAAGGCAGGAGAGGGUAGUGGAAUUCCCGGUGUAGUGGUGAAAUGCGUAGAUAUCGGGAGGAACACCAGUGGCGAAGGCGACUACCUGGCCUGUUCUUGACGCUGAGGCGCGAAAGCUAGGGGAGCAAACGGG
rnacentral:rRNA from 1 species